rnacentral:misc_RNA from 1 species
AAUGCGGGAUUUGGCGGCACCGCGGAAUAUGUCGCGUUGUGGUUCAAGGAUCACGGAAUCGAAUCGGACUUCUUCUGGUACGUAACUGUGAUGUGCGCUCUUGCGUUGCUCGCGGCGAUCCUGAUGCCUGACCCCAAGGUCAAGGGCUAUCUGCACGGUCACGAGUCGGAUCCGGAUUAGGUCAGGACACAGCGUGCCGUCAUCCUGAGGUGCCGAAGCAAAGCGGAGGCCUCGAAGGGCGACGGCGAUAGUUGCGCGUCAUCCUUCGAGGCUCGCAAGCGCUCGCACCUCAGGA